rnacentral:hammerhead_ribozyme from 1 species
AUCCAGCUGACGAGUCCUAAAUAGGAUGAAACGCGCAUCGUAGAU